UACGUACUGUGCGAACGUUAUUCGGAAUCACUGGGCUUAAAGGGUGUGUAGGCGGCCUGACAAGUAGGGUGUGAAAGGCCUCGGCUCAACCGGGGCAUUGCGCUCUAGACUGUUUGGCUCGAGCAAGACAGGGGUGUGCGGAACUUCCAGUGGAGCGGUGAAAUGUGUUGAUAUUGGAAGGAACACCGGUGGCGAAAGCGGCACACUGGGUCUUGUCUGACGCUGAGACACGAAAGCCAGGGGAGCGAACGGG
rnacentral:rRNA from 1 species